rnacentral:lncRNA from 1 species
CCAGUGUGCAAUUGAUGCUCGGGACAGAUAGAGGUCUUGGCAGAAGCUGAGAUCACUUUCCAAUUUCACUGAGAUUAUGAAAACAACGUUUGUGAACUUGGAAUCCUAGCACUCCUGACCCUGAGCAUUUUCUUUUUCUUUUGUCACAGACUUCUUUGAAGACCAAGUCACCGUUUCCUUCAGCUUGAGACAAUGUUUCAGGGCUGAGAUGGCCUCCCAGGUUGUUCCCCCAACAGUGACAGAUAUUUCUGAAGGGCUCAAUAAAGAAGAAUGAAGGAAAGAGAACACUUGCUGGAGCCACAGAUGUAAGGUCAGGAUUUAGUUCACUGGGUUUUCUGUCAGGUCUUGGGGGUCCUCUCACCUUCAGAGAGAGGUUCUGGCCAUGACCACGGGCCCCUGGAACGUCUGGGAGUG